rnacentral:rRNA from 1 species
UACGGAAGGCAGCAGUGGGGAAUAUUGCACAAAUGGGCGCAAGCCUGAUGCAGCCAUGCCGCGUGUAUGAAGAAGGCCUUCGGGUUGUAAAGUACUUUCAGCGGGGAGGAAGGCGAUGUGGUUAAUAACCGCGUCGAUUGACGUUACCCGCAGAAGAAGCACCGGCUAACUCCGUGCCAGCAGCCGCGGUAAUACGGAGGGUGCAAGCGUUAAUCGGAAUUACUGGGCGUAAAGCGCACGCAGGCGGUCUGUUAAGUCAGAUGUGAAAUCCCCGGGCUUAACCUGGGAACUGCAUUUUGAAACUGGCAGGCUUGAGUCUCGUAGAGGGGGUAGAAGUUCCAGGUGUAGCGGUGAAAUGCGUAGAGAUCUGGAGGAAUACCGGUGGCGAAGGCGGCCCCUGGGCGAAGCUGACGCUCAGGGU